rnacentral:rRNA from 1 species
CAUUUGUCUUUUAAAUGAAGACUUGUAUGAACGGCAAAACCUCCUCCAACUGUCUCCCCUCCCAUCCUUCCAAAUUUCCUCCUGUGUGAAGAAGCGCAGAUACACCAGAAAGACGAGAAGACCCUGUCGAGCUUUAACCACUAAGUGGGCCUUACCCUUUCAGGCACCACCCAAAGGUUUUGGUUGGGGUAACCACGGAGAAAAAACAUCCUCCAGAACGAAUAGAAGAAAGCUUUUCACUAUUAUUACGAUUAAGAACCAGGAACUGGUAUUCGGAAAGAGUUACCGCAGGGAUAACAGCGUCAUCUCCUCUAAGAGUCCUUAUUGACGAGGAGGUUUGCGACCUCGAUGUUGGAUUGGGGCCCCCUUAGGGUGCAGAAGCUCUAAACGGUUAGACUGUUCGUCUAUUAAAGCCCUACAUGAUCUGAGUUCNAAACCGGAGAU